rnacentral:rRNA from 1 species
CACGUAGGGCGCAAGCGUUGUCCGGAAUUAUUGGGCGUAAAGAGCUCGUAGGCGGUCUGUUGCGUCCGCUGUGAAAACUCGGGGCUUAACCCCGAGCCUGCAGUGGAUACGGGCAGACUAGAGGUAGGUAGGGGAGAAUGGAAUUCCCGGUGUAGCGGUGAAAUGCGUAGAUAUCUGGAGGAACACCGGUGGCGAAGGCGGCAUCCUGGACCAAUUCUGACGCUGAGGAGCGAAAGCCAGGGGAGCAAACGGG